GGUUAAGCGACUAAGCGUACACGGUGGAUGCCCUGGCAGUCAGAGGCGAUGAAGGACGUGCUAAUCUGCGAAAAGCGUCGGUAAGGUGAUAUGAACCGUUAUAACCGGCGAUGUCCGAAUGGGGAAACCCAGUGCAAUUCGUUGCACUAUCGUUAACUGAAUACAUAGGUUAACGAGGCGAACCGGGGGAACUGAAACAUCUAAGUACCCCGAGGAAAAGAAAUCAACCGAGAUUCCCCAGUAGCGGCGAGCGAACGGGGAGCAGCCCAGAGUCUGAAUCAGCUUGUGUGUUAGUGGAACGGUCUGGAAAGUCCGACGGUACAGGGUGAUAGUCCCGUACACCAAAAUGCACAGGCUGUGAACUCGAAGAGUAGGGCGGGACACGUGGUAUCCUGUCUGAAUAUGGGGGGACCAUCCUCCAAGGCUAAAUACUCCUGACUGACCGAUAGUGAACCAGUACCGUGAGGGAAAGGCGAAAAGAACCCCGGCGAGGGGAGUGAAAAAGAACCUGAAACCGUGUACGUACAAGCAGUGGGAGCACCUUCGGGUGUGACUGCGUACCUUUUGUAUAAUGGGUCAGCGACUUAUAUUCUGUAGCAAGGUUAACCGUAUAGGGGAGCCGCAGGGAAACCGAGUCUUAACUGGGCGUUAAGUUGCAGGGUAUAGACCCGAAACCCGGUGAUCUAGCCAUGGGCAGGUUGAAGGUUGGGUAACACUAACUGGAGGACCGAACCGACUAAUGUUGAAAAAUUAGCGGAUGACUUGUGGCUGGGGGUGAAAGGCCAAUCAAACCGGGAGAUAGCUGGUUCUCCCCGAAAGCUAUUUAGGUAGCGCCUCGUGAACUCAUCUUCGGGGGUAGAGCACUGUUUCGGCUAGGGGGUCAUCCCGACUUACCAACCCGAUGCAAACUACGAAUACCGAAGAAUGUUAUCACGGGAGACACACGGCGGGUGCUAACGUCCGUCGUGAAGAGGGAAACAACCCAGACCGCCAGCUAAGGUCCCAAAGUCAUGGUUAAGUGGGAAACGAUGUGGGAAGGCACAGACAGCCAGGAUGUUGGCUUAGAAGCAGCCAUCAUUUAAAGAAAGCGUAAUAGCUCACUGGUCGAGUCGGCCUGCGCGGAAGAUGUAACGGGGCUAAACCAUGCACCGAAGCUGCGGCAGCGACACUAUGUGUUGUUGGGUAGGGGAGCGUUCUGUAAGCCUGCGAAGGUGUGCUGUGAGGCAUGCUGGAGGUAUCAGAAGUGCGAAUGCUGACAUAAGUAACGAUAAAGCGGGUGAAAAGCCCGCUCGCCGGAAGACCAAGGGUUCCUGUCCAACGUUAAUCGGGGCAGGGUGAGUCGACCCCUAAGGCGAGGCCGAAAGGCGUAGUCGAUGGGAAACAGGUUAAUAUUCCUGUACUUGGUGUUACUGCGAAGGGGGACGGAGAAGGCUAUGUUAGCCGGGCGACGGUUGUCCCGGUUUAAGCAUGUAGGCUGAUUGUCCAGGCAAAUCCGGAUAAUCAAGGCUGAGGUGUGAUGACGAGGCACUACGGUGCUGAAGUAACAAAUGCCCUGCUUCCAGGAAAAGCCUCUAAGCAUCAGGUAACAUUAAAUCGUACCCCAAACCGACACAGGUGGUCAGGUAGAGAAUACCAAGGCGCUUGAGAGAACUCGGGUGAAGGAACUAGGCAAAAUGGUGCCGUAACUUCGGGAGAAGGCACGCUGGUGUGUAGGUGAAGUCCCUGCGGAUGGAGCUGAGACCAGUCGAAGAUACCAGCUGGCUGCAACUGUUUAUUAAAAACACAGCACUGUGCAAACACGAAAGUGGACGUAUACGGUGUGACGCCUGCCCGGUGCCGGAAGGUUAAUUGAUGGGGUUAUCCGUAAGGAGAAGCUCUUGAUCGAAGCCCCGGUAAACGGCGGCCGUAACUAUAACGGUCCUAAGGUAGCGAAAUUCCUUGUCGGGUAAGUUCCGACCUGCACGAAUGGCGUAAUGAUGGCCAGGCUGUCUCCACCCGAGACUCAGUGAAAUUGAACUCGCUGUGAAGAUGCAGUGUACCCGCGGCAAGACGGAAAGACCCCGUGAACCUUUACUAUAGCUUGACACUGAACAUUGAGCCUUGAUGUGUAGGAUAGGUGGGAGGCUUUGAAGCGUGGACGCCAGUCUGCGUGGAGCCAACCUUGAAAUACCACCCUUUAAUGUUUGAUGUUCUAACGUUGGCCCCUGACCGGGGUUGCGGACAGUGUCUGGUGGGUAGUUUGACUGGGGCGGUCUCCUCCCAAAGCGUAACGGAGGAGCACGAAGGUUAGCUAAUCCUGGUCGGACAUCAGGAGGUUAGUGCAAUGGCAUAAGCUAGCUUGACUGCGAGCGUGACGGCGCGAGCAGGUGCGAAAGCAGGUCAUAGUGAUCCGGUGGUUCUGAAUGGAAGGGCCAUCGCUCAACGGAUAAAAGGUACUCCGGGGAUAACAGGCUGAUACCGCCCAAGAGUUCAUAUCGACGGCGGUGUUUGGCACCUCGAUGUCGGCUCAUCACAUCCUGGGGCUGAAGUAGGUCCCAAGGGUAUGGCUGUUCGCCAUUUAAAGUGGUACGCGAGCUGGGUUUAGAACGUCGUGAGACAGUUCGGUCCCUAUCUGCCGUGGGCGCUGGAGAAUUGAGGGGGGCUGCUCCUAGUACGAGAGGACCGGAGUGGACGCAUCACUGGUGUUCGGGUUGUCAUGCCAAUGGCACUGCCCGGUAGCUAAAUGCGGAAGAGAUAAGUGCUGAAAGCAUCUAAGCACGAAACUUGCCCCGAGAUGAGUUCUCCCUGAGACUUUAAGUCUCCUGAAGGAACGUUAAAGACGAUGACGUUGAUAGGCCGGGUGUGUAAGCGCAGCGAUGCGUUGAGCUAACCGGUACUAAUGAACCGUGAGGCUUAACCUU
rnacentral:rRNA from 1 species